CAGCAGCCGCGGGAAAACGUAGGGUGCGAGCGUUAAUCGGAAUUACUGGGCGUAAAGCGUGCGCAGGCGGUUCGUUAAGACAGAUGUGAAAUCCCCGGGCUUAACCUGGGAACUGCAUUUGUGACUGACGGGCUAGAGUAUGGCAGAGGGGGGUAGAAUUCCACGUGUAGCAGUGAAAUGCGUAGAUAUGCGGAGGAACACCGAUGGCGAAGGCAAUCCCCUGGGCCUGUACUGACGCUCAUGCACGAAAGCGUGGGGAGCAAACAGGAUUAGAUACCCCCGUAGUCCCUGUCUCUUAUAC
rnacentral:rRNA from 1 species